GGGAUAGAGAGAUCAGCAGCAUGAGAAAUCCUCUAAGGAUCAUCUGCAAACCUUUCACCUCGGCUAAACUACACACCAGGGUUUACACGACGACAGUGACAGAGAACUUGCCUAUACUGGUGACAUUGUUUUGAAGUAUUGGAUGUGCAACGUCAAUAAAAUGUUGGCAGUCUGGGCUGCAACACAGAAGAAAAAGAGAGGAUGUGACUCUACUACGUACGUUAACCUGCUGCCUAUCUGCUGCAUUCACUCAGCUGCUCAGUGAAAGUGUAUCUGUUGGAGGUGAAACGCGAUGCAUGUGAACUCUACAUGAGACAAACGUACUGUACUCCAGAGACCCCGAGGGCUCUCCCUGCUUGUUACUGAUAAUGUAACUGGCAUGCUGCAGAGGAGGACUCGUGAACUUACUGUACCGACAUGGUUUCACUCUCCACUAUCAGCCGCAGCAUUCCUUCAAAGCUUAGGU